GGCCCGGUAGCUCAGUUGGUAGAGCAGAGGACUGAAAAUCCUUGUGUCGGUGGUUCGAUUCCGCCCCAGGCCACCA
rnacentral:tRNA from 4 species